rnacentral:rRNA from 1 species
CAAUAGCGUAUAUUAAAGUUGUUGCAGUUAAAAAGCUCGUAGUUGGAUUUCUGGAUGGAGCGACCGGUCGGGCAUUAAUUUGUCUGCACUGGAGUCGGUUCCGUCCAUCCUCUUGGAAAGUGCGUCGGGCAUUAAGUUGUUUGGCGUAUGAUCCAAGUCGUUUACUGUGAAAAAAUUAGAGUGUUUAAAGCAGGCCUUCGCCUUGAAUACGUUAGCAUGGAAUAAUAAGAUAGGACUUUGGUCUAUUUUGUUGGUUUGCAGACCGAAGUAAUGAUUAAUAGGGAUAGUUGGGGGUAUUUAUAUUCCGAUGUCAGAGGUGAAAUUCUUAGAUUUUCGGAAGAUAAACUUAUGCGAAAGCAUUUACCAAGGAUGUUUUCAUUAA